rnacentral:rRNA from 1 species
UCCUACGGGAGGCAGCAGUAGGGAAUCUUCCACAAUGGACGAAGGUCUGAUGGAGCAACGCCGCGUGAGUGAAGAAGGGUUUCGGCUUGUAAAACUCUGUUGUUAAAGAAGAACAUAUCUGAGAGUAACUGUUCAGGUAUUGACGGUAUUUAACCAGAAAGCCACGGCUAACUACGUGCCAGCAGCCGCGGUAAU